CACGUAGGGGGCAAGCGUUGUCCGGAUUCAUUGGGCGUAAAGAGCUCGUAGGCGGUUUGUCACGUCGGAUGUGAAAACCCGGGGCUUAACCCCGGGCCUGCAUUCGAUACGGGCUGACUAGAGUUCGGCAGGGGAGACUGGAAUUCCUGGUGUAGCGGUGAAAUGCGCAGAUAUCAGGAGGAACACCGGUGGCGAAGGCGGGUCUCUGGGCCGAUACUGACGCUGAGGAGCGAAAGCGUGGGGAGCGAACAGG
rnacentral:rRNA from 1 species